rnacentral:rRNA from 1 species
UACGGAGGUCUCAAGCGUUGUUCGGAUUCAUUGGGCGUAAAGGGUGCGUAGGUGGCGUGGUAAGUCGGGUGUGAAAUUUCGGAGCUUAACUCCGAAACUGCAUUCGAUACUGCCGUGCUUGAGGACUGGAGAGGAGACUGGAAUUUACGGUGUAGCAGUGAAAUGCGUAGAGAUCGUAAGGAAGACCAGUGGCGAAGGCGGGUCUCUGGGCAUUAACUGACGCUGAGGAGCGAAAGCAUGGGGAGCGAACAGG